rnacentral:rRNA from 1 species
UACGGGGGUGGCAAGCGUUGUUCGGAAUUACUGGGCGUAAAGGGCUCGUAGGUGGCCAACUAAGUCAGACGUGAAAUCCCUCGGCUUAACCGGGGAACUGCGUCUGAUACUGGAUGGCUUGAGUUCGGGAGAGGGAUGCGGAAUUCCAGGUGUAGCGGUGAAAUGCGUAGAUAUCUGGAGGAACACCGGUGGCGAAGGCGGCAUCCUGGACCGACACUGACACUGAGGAGCGAAAGCCAGGGGAGCAAACGGG